GAAGGCGGGGACUGUAUUUAUUAGGGGGUGGUGGGAGCUGAGAGAAACAAACAAGCAUAAGAUUAAUUGAGAGACGCAGAAGGUAAAGAUCGAAGAAUGGAAGGGUCUUCACCAUCCAUUGAAGAAGAGAGAACAGCCACUUUCUAUGUGUACCAUCCUUGCUAUUUUCUUCAACAAGCACUCAGGGCUCUCUUGAAGUGUGUAGGUAUUGAUGAGUCUGAAAACACAAUGUGUUCACAGGCCAAUAAACAAGAGAAAAGCUCACUGCCACAAACUCCUUCUGCAGAUGAUCCUAUUACAAACUCUCCAACCCACAAAAGCUCCCCAGAUGCUGCAGAUCCACCUUCCACAACUAAUCAAACCAUUAUCAUUGCAAGUUUAAUGGCAACGCGUGGCAGUCGAGGGUCUAAAAUUAGCGAUGGGUCAGGCCCUCAGCAUAAUUAAUAGAUACCAUGGCUUUUCACUUGGUUGGAUUAUAAAGUGUGUGAUACUCGAAGGUCAGGACUUAAUUACCCAAGGGCCCAGGCCUUCAGAGAAUAAAUGAAAAAUUUAUGCUGAAUUUCCUCUUAGUGUUAGUCUAGUUGUCAUAGUUUUGCUUCCUCUAGCUGUUUAUUUUAACCUUUCUUUCCUAUUUUCCUUCUUCUUUGCCAUUUUCAGAUAGAGUUGUACGUGUGUGGGAAUUAAAUAUUUAUGCAGAUAUAUAUAGAAGGCCUGACCUGUAAAUCCAUAUCAAUAUUUAAUUGCUAGCUUGUGCUUUACAAUUCAGCUUCAUA